UGGCGGACGGGUGAGUAAUGUCUGGGAAACUGCCUGAUGGAGGGGGGUAACUACUGGAAACGGUAGCUAAUACCGCAUAACGUCGCAAGACCAAAGAGGGGGACCUUAGGGCCUCUUGCCAUCGGAUGUGCCCAGAUGGGAUUAGCUAGUAGGUGGGGUAACGGCUCACCUAGGCGACGAUCCCUAGCUGGUCUGAGAGGAUGACCAGCCACACUGGAACUGGGACACGGUCCAG
rnacentral:rRNA from 1 species